CAAGCGUUAAUCGGGAUUACUGGGCGUAAAGGGCGCGUAGGCGAUUGUUUAAGUCUGUCGUGAAAUCCCCGGGCUCAACCUGGGAAUGGCGAUGGAUACUGGGCAGCUAGAGUGUGUCAGAGGAUGGUGGAAUUCCCGGUGUAGCGGUGAAAUGCGUAGAGAUCGGGAGGAACAACAGUGGCGAAGGCGGCCAUCUGGGACAACACUGACGCUGAAGCACGAAAGCGUGGGGAGCAAACCGG
rnacentral:rRNA from 1 species